UAAUCAAGUGGGAAGAUCAGCCGGUUUCUAGAAUUUGGGUCUUUUACAAUAAUUGUGAAAGUGACAAGUUCAAAAACAUGCCAGGCCAUAUCCUCCUUGAACAUGUAAUGCUGGACUCCAUGCAAAGGAAGGAUACUGCCCUACUGACUUCUCUGCCAUCUCCACAGCAAGCCCUGACACUGUCUCAGGCCUAGCUUAUCGGUGCCUGCCCCUGGCAUCAUAGUGCCUACCAACAGCCUGUGUGUGACAGCUGCAGACCUAUCUCCUGAUGAUCUCUUGCCAGCCAUGUGAUCAGCUGAAAAGGCGCAGGUGAAGAUACUGCAGAAGGAAGAUGUUGCUUGCCCCUGAUGGAACAAAACAUGCUGCAUCCCAGAUGGGAGGUUACCUCGACUCAGUGCAUACGUCUCCAGUGAUCUCUGGGGUAUAAGGAAGCCAAAGACUGUUGCAUGUGAAUUUGAAGUCACAUGAAGCUGGCUUUGUUUGGGGAACCAUUCAGUAGUGUGGCGUCACUUUGUCUUAUCUAACCAAGAAGGAUUUGAAGAAGAUUCUCCAGUGGUAGAAGCUGUGUGGAGGAGGAAUUCAUGUGAGUGAGCAUGAGCGUAAGGAUUGAAGCAGAGGUAAAAGUCUUCAAAGGCUCAUGCAGAAAAAUCUGUCUUACGGAAGAGGGUGUUUUAUGAGGCAUGGUUGCGGAACUGCCCAGUUCACAUGGGGUAUUAUUCAAUAAAUUGUUUUUUUAGAAUUAAAUUGUGUUAUUAAUGC